UCCGUAGGUGAACCUGCGGAAGGAUCAUUGUCGUCCCUAGAACCACCACCGG
rnacentral:rRNA from 6 species